AUUGAACGCUGGCGGCAGGCCUAACACAUGCAAGUCGAACGGUAACAGGAAGCAGCUUGCUGCUUCGCUGACGAGUGGCGGACGGGUGAGUAAUGUCUGGGAAGCUGCCUGAUGGAGGGGGAUAACUACUGGAAACGGUAGCUAAUACCGCAUAAUGUCGCAAGACCAAAGAGGGGGACCUUCGGGCCUCUUGCCAUCGGAUGUGCCCAGAUGGGAUUAGCUUGUUGGUGGGGUAACGGCUCACCAAGGCGACGAUCCCUAGCUGGUCUGAGAGGAUGACCAGCCACCACGGAACUGGGACACCGUCCAGACUCCUACGGGAGGCAGCAGUGGGGAAUAUUGGACAAUGGGCGGAAACCUGGUGCAACCAAGGCGCGUGGAAGGAGGAAGCCUUCCGGUUGUAAAGUUCUUUUAGGGGGGAGGAAGGGAGUAAAGUUAAUACCUUUGCUCAUUGACGUUACCCGCAGAAGAAGCACCGGCUAACUCCGUG
rnacentral:rRNA from 1 species